GCUGAUAAUAAGCUCAAUUGGGCUUUUGAGUGCAUGUGCUAAAAUAAGCCUCCCCCACAAAAAAUAAGCCCUCUCCGAAAAUAUUUAAACGCAGAACUGGAAAUCAGGGCCCUUCUAUCAAGCAAUAACACCUUCUUUGAGCACAAUGUCAUGCCAUCUCAGUGGCAGCACCUGAAACACCAUCCCUCCAGAGAUUUAGAGUGUCCCAACCCUGUUUGGCUUUUUGCAAGGCAUUGAAGAUCUGGCUAUUUCUCCAGACAUUUGGGUCAGAUGGUUAGAUACUGAAUUUGUGAGGAUCAGAAUAGACAUUUAUGAAAGCUGGAAUACAUGAGACCUGCUCAGAUUAAGCCAUGGGGGCAGAAAGGGUGAUUUUGGAGUAUUUCAACAUAAAGAGCAUGCAGGAAAAGACCAGGAUAAAGAUCUUUAAGAAGAUUUAUUAGAGAACCUCAAAAUAAACAAAGAUUACUAUGUGAACUAGAUAAGCUGAUAGUACCCAAGAGAAAAAUCAACAAAAGUAGUUUACUGGGACUGACCAAGCUUCAUCAAAAGUCAUAGAACUGGAUGAAAACUGUAAAGUUUGGAGACAUCACAGAAAAUGAGACAUUAUACCAGGUGUCGCUACUUCUACUUUGAUUCUUCUGGCGUUCAAACCAAGCAUAAUCAGAUAGUGGGUAGGGACGGAGGAGGAUGAAAAAUGAGCUAAUGUAGUGAAUAGAAAUUUUGGAAGUACUUUGCUUAGUAUGGUAAUGAUAGCAUUGCUGAUGAUUACUGUGCUCCUGAGAUACAAUAAAUUAACUGUGUGGCCUUCU